AGACUCAGUUCUUCAAUGAACCAAGCCAUUAAUUUUCUCGGACACUUCAUUCCCUCAUCUGUGCAAGACAGAAUGACACCAGGUUCUUGCUAACCUUCUUCUGACUCAAAAAUUUCAACAAAUGUUUUAUAUUCCUCUAAUCUGAAUUUGGCUCCUUAUAGUCAAAAAUGAGAAUUUUUGUUUCAUUUAUAUUAUUCAAAAUUUAUAUUAAGAGUUUUAAAAUACACUUGUAUUUUUGAAGCCCAUGUCCUGAAGAAUAUUUUGGAAGCACACAGCUAUUCAUGAUCAACUGUUCCAGGAACACACAAUGUGUUUCAAGUUUUGGUCAGUAUCCUCAGAGGACAGAGCGCGUGUGGUGAGAAAUGGAAAGACCUGGGCAGCUGUCAUGAAAAAAGCAUCCUUGCAUUCCUUCUGUGCAAUGAUAUACUGGGCUCAGUGCACCAAAGGUUGGUCGGUGUUAGAGAAGCAGUGACGCCAAGGAGAGAGAGAGAAUUACAAGAGGACACAGUUAAAUGAAGACACUUCUCCUUUGGCUCAUGUUUCUCCCCACUCCAGCACACUAAUGAGAGCCAGGAGGAGGCAGCUCAGAGCCAGAGCUUGCCUCGCCCCGCCCCAGCUUCCUGAAAACAUCUGGGUCUCAGAUCAGAUCCAGGAUGGUUUGAGACAACCUCAUUCUUACAUUGAAUUUGAGAUGAAACUUGAGAGGGUAUAUGUUUCAAUAACUAAAAGUUGUGAAAACAUUUUGGAAUCUGCUCCAAUGACACUAAAGGAUUGGAAAGGAUGAUUGACAAAGCAUAGUUGAAAUAGCGAUGAUAAGAAAAUGAAAUAAGAUCACUGAGUUGAAGCUGUGUACCUCUCCACUCUCAUGUGGAUAAGACUGAAUGGCUCUCUGCAGAAGAAACCUUGUAGAGUCUUGAAAAAUUCUGGAAAUAACCUUGUAUUUUCUCUUUUACCUCUUUGACAUAAAUAUAAAAGGAAGAAUAGAAAACUGCAUGCAUUUCUGGGCAAAAUGCAAAGUCUGUGUUUGAAACAAUUAUUAUUCUAUGAGCAGAUUCAAGUUCCAUUUGUUAUGUCACUUUUCAUAUCAUCAGCUCUGUCUGGGAGACUCGGGUUUUCUGUCUGUAUUAUGUGUAUAUUUGUUUUCUAUAUAAACUCUGUCUUUUUUGUUACCUUUAUUUUCAAUAACAAAGCAUAAAGACAAAGUAUAAUCUUCCCAAACUAUAUGCUAAGGCACUAUUAUUAUUAUUAUUUUACCUUUUUUUUCUUUGAGAAUUGUCUCAUGGAAAAGGGUUGUUACUGGUGGCAGGCACAAUAUCACAAUACAGUUCCUGUGAAGAUGUUCACAUUUACCCUUUAACUAAGAUCUGUGUUUAUAUAAAUAUCGUUAAACAAUAAGAUCA